rnacentral:rRNA from 1 species
UUGGAGGGCAAGUCUGGUGCCAGCAGCCGCGGUAAUUCCAGCUCCAAUAGCGUAUAUUAAAGUUGUUGCAGUUAAAAAGCUCGUAGUUGAAUUUCGGGAUCAAUGCGUCGGUCGUGCCUUCGGUACGUACUAGCGUCAUUGAUUCUUCCCUUCUGAAGAACCGUGAUGUCAUUAAUUUGGUGUUACGGGGAAUCAGGACUGUUACCUUGAAAAAAUUAGAGUGUUUAAAGCAGGCUAACGCUUGAAUACAUUAGCAUGGAAUAAUGAAAUAGGACGUUCGAACCUAUUUUGUUGGUUUCUAGGAUCGACGUAAUGAUUAAUAGGGAUGGUUGGGGGCAUUAGUAUUCAAUUGUCAGAGGUGAAAUACUUGGAUUUAUUGAAGACUAACUUCUGCGAAAGCAUUUGCCAAGGAUGUUUUCAUUAAUCAAGAACGAAAGUUAGGGGAUCGAAGACGAUCAGAUACCGUCGUAGUCUUAACCAUAAACUAUGCCGACUAGGGAUCGGAUGAUGUUAAUUUUUUAAUGACUCAUUCGGCACCUUACGGGAAAC